UACGUAGGGUGCAAGCGUUAAUCGGAAUUACUGGGCGUAAAGCGUGCGCAGGCGGUUCGUUAUGUCCGAUGUGAAAGCCCCGAGCUCAACUUGGGAAUGGCAUUGGAAACUGGCGGGCUGGAGUGUGGCAGAGGGGGGUGGAAUUCCACGUGUAGCAGUGAAAUGCGUAGAGAUGUGGAGGAACACCGAUGGCGAAGGCAGCCCCCUGGGUCAAGAUUGACGCUCAUGCACGAAAGCGUGGGGAGCAAACAGG
rnacentral:rRNA from 1 species